rnacentral:tRNA from 1 species
UCGUGGCUCAAUUGGAUAGAGCAUCUGACUUCGGAUCAGACGGUUGGGGGUUCGAGUCCCUCCGA